rnacentral:rRNA from 1 species
GUGUCAGCAGCCGCGGUAAUACAGAGGUCCCAAGCGUUGUUCGGAUUCACUGGGCGUAAAGGGUGCGUAGGUGGUCGGGUAAGUCUGAUGUGAAAUCUCGGAGCUCAACUCCGAAACGGCAUUGGAUACUAUUCGGCUUGAGGGUUGGAGGGGGGACUGGAAUUCUCGGUGUAGCAGUGAAAUGCGUAGAUAUCGAGAGGAACACCAGUGGCGAAGGCGAGUCCCUGGACAACUCCUGACACUAAGGCACGAAAGCUAGGGGAGCAAACAGGAUUAGAAACCCGCGUAGUCC